GGGGGGGGGCUUACCUAGGGGAAUCCUGUUCCAGGGGUUCCCAAAGGUGUGGAUGGAGUUGGCGAAGACUAUCCACCCUCUUCCUACAGUGGAGUCCUAUCCAUCCCGAGAGUGGGGCUUACCUAGGGGUCCCUGUUCGGGCGCCAGAUGCUGGGGUCCUACCCCAGCAGGUCCAGGGGUCCCCAAAGGUGUGGACGGAGUCGGCGAAGAAGGAAUGACAUGGAGGCAGCAUUCAGUUCAUCAGCAUAGUUGGGAUCUCCAGCCAGGUUCUGUAGCCAUGUUCUCUCACUAGGUUCUCCAGCCAAGUUCGGUCGCCAGGUUCUGUAGCCGGGUUCUGUAGCCAGGUUCUGUCUCUAGGUUCUUCAGCCAGGUUCUCUCGCUAGGUUCUGUCUCUAGGUUCUUCAGCCAGGUUCUCUCGCUAGGUUCUGUCUCCAGUUUCUGUCCAGGAUCUUUUGCCAUGUUCUGUGUCUAGGUCCUGUGUUCUGUUGUCUUGUUACAUCUGUAUUUAU